rnacentral:rRNA from 1 species
GACGAACGCUGGCGGCGUGCCUAAUACAUGCAAGUCGAGCGGACGGAUGGGAGCUUGCUCCCAGACCGUCAGCGGCGGACGGGUGAGUAACACGUGGGCAACCUGCCUGUAAGACUGGGAUAACUCCGGGAAACCGGGGCUAAUACCGGAUAACUCUUUCCCUCACAUGAGGGAAAGCUGAAAGAUGGCAUCUCGCUAUCACUUACAGAUGGGCCCGCGGCGCAUUAGCUAGUUGGUGAGGUAACGGCUCACCAAGGCGACGAUGCGUAGCCGACCUGAGAGGGUGAUCGGCCGCACUGGGACUGAGACACGGCCCAGACUCCUACGGGAGGCAGCAGUAGGGAAUCUUCCGCAAUGGACGAAAGUCUGACGGAGCAACGCCGCGUGAGUGAUGAAGGUUUUCGGAUCGUAAAACUCUGUUGUCAGGGAAGAACAAGUACCGGAGUAACUGCCGGUACCUUGACGGUACCUGACCAGAAAGCCACGGCUAACUACGUG